CCUACGGGAGGCAGCAGUGGGGAAUAUUGGACAAUGGGCGAAAGCCUGAUCCAGCCAUACCGCGUGUGUGAAGAAGGCCUUCGGGUUGUAAAGCACUUUCAGUGGGGAAGAAAGCCUUGGGGCUAAUACCCUCGAGGAAGGACAUCACCCACAGAAGAAGCACCGGCUAACUCCGUGCCAGCAGCCGCGGUAAUACGGAGGGUGCGAGCGUUAAUCGGAAUUACUGGGCGUAAAGCGCGCGUAGGCGGUCUGAUAAGCCGGUUGUGAAAGCCCCGGGCUCAACCUGGGAACGGCAUCCGGAACUGUCAGGCUAGAGUGCAGGAGAGGAAGGUAGAAUUCCCGGUGUAGCGGUGAAAUGCGUAGAGAUCGGGAGGAAUACCAGUGGCGAAGGCGGCCUUCUGGACUGACACUGACGCUGAGGUGCGAAAGCGUGGGUAGCAAACAGGAUUAGAUACCCCGAGUAGUC
rnacentral:rRNA from 1 species